CUGGCGGUAGCGACCGGAGUAUUGGUUCGCGGACGGUUUCUCGCGCCGUCGGUCGCCGGCGUGCCGGUCGCCGCCGCCAUG
rnacentral:tRNA from 1 species